AUGUCACCAUUGUUGUUUGACAUAGCUGCGGAUGCCUUGGCAAUUAUUUCAAAUAAAGCUAAGCAUGCAGGAUAUGUCAAGGGGUUUUUAACUAAGUUAGGAGAUGAUGGGGUGAACAUGCUGCAAUAUGCAGAUGACACCAUUUUCUUACUUAGGGAUGAUGAGGAGAGCAUAAAAAAUUUAAAAUUCAUACUCACUGCUUUCGAGCAAAUGUCUGGCCUAACCAUUAACUUUCACAAAAGUGAGGUGUUCCUAUUUGGAGAGGCCAACAAUAAAAGUGAGAUAUAUCAAGAGAUAUUACUUGCAAAAGAGGGGAGCUCCCUUUCAAGUAUUUGGGGCUACCUAUCACUAACGUGA
rnacentral:rRNA from 1 species